AUGGCUCGUGCUGUUGUUCCGUUAAAUUUUAAUGCGUUCCUUGAGAAAGCAAUGAUGAAAUAUGAUGGUAGCAAUUACACGGACUGGGUCCGUAACCUGAGGAUUAUCCUCAUUGCUGCACAGAAGAAUUACGUCCUGGAAGCACCGCUGGGUGCCAGGCCUGCUGCUGAUGCAACUGACGACGUUAAGAACGUCUGGCAGUGCAAAGCUGAUGACUACUCGAUAGUUCAGUGUGCCAUGCUUUACGGCUUGGAACCGGGUCUUCAACGACGUUUUGAACGUCAUGGAGCAUAUGAGAUGUUCCAGGAGUUGAAGUUAAUAUUUCAAGCAAAUGCCCGGAUUGAGAGAUAUGAAGUCUCCAAUAAGUUCUAUAGCUGCAAGAUGGAGGAGAAUAGUUCUGUCAGUGAACACAUACUCAAAAUGUCUGGGUAUAAUAAUCACUUGAUUCAACUGGGAGUUAAUCUUCCUGAUGAUAGUGUCAUUGACAGAAUUCUUCAAUCACUGCCACCAAGCUACAAGAGCUUCGUGAUGAACUAUAACAUGCAAGGGAUGGACAAAACUAUUCCCGAGCUCUUCGCAAUGCUAAAAGCCGCGGAGGUAGAAAUCAAGAAGGAGCAUCAAGUGUUGAUGGUUAACAAGACCACCAGUUUCAAGAAAAAGGGCAAAGGGAAGAAGAAGGGGAACUUCAAGAAGAACAACAAACAAGUUGCUGCUCAAGUGAAGAAACCCAAGUCUGGACCUAAGCCUGAAACUGAGUGCUUCUACUGCAAGCAGACUGGACACUGGAAGCAGAACUGCCCCAAGUAUUUGGCGGAUAAGAAGGAUGGCAAAGUGAACAAAGGGACUACGGAUUAA
rnacentral:rRNA from 1 species